ensembl:snRNA U4 U4 spliceosomal RNA
AGCUUUAGGCAAUGGCAGUAUCAUAGUCUGUGAGGGUCAACUGAGGCGUGAUUAUCGCUAAUUGAAAACUUUUCCUAAUGCCCUGCCUUGAUAGCUUGAAAUAUAGCUGCUGUUGGCAAUUUUUGGCAGUCUCUGUAGAGG